ACGCUGGCGGCGUGCUUAACACAUGCAAGUCGAACGAUGAAGCCUAGCUUGCUAGGUGGAUUAGUGGCGAACGGGUGAGUAAUACGUGAGUAACCUACCUUUAACUCUGGGAUAAGCCUGGGAAACUGGGUCUAAUACCGGAUACGACCAAUCUCCGCAUGGAGUGUUGGUGGAAAGCGUUAUGUAGUGGUUAUAGAUGGGCUCACGGCCUAUCAGCUUGUUGGUGAGGUAACGGCUCACCAAGGCGACGACGGGUAGCCGGCCUGAGGGGGUGACCGGCCACACUGGGACUGAGACACGGCCCAGACUCCUACGGGAGGCAGCAGUGGGGAAUAUUGCACAAUGGGCGCAAGCCUGAUGCAGCGACGCCGCGUGAGGGAUGACGGCCUUCGGGUUGUAAACCUCUGUUAGCAGGGAAGAAGAGAAAUUGACGGUACCUGCAGAGAAAGCGCCGGCUAACUACGUGCCAGCAGCCGCGGUAAUACGUAGGGCGCGAGCGUUGUCCGGAAUUAUUGGGCGUAAAGAGCUUGUAGGCGGUUUGUCGCGUCUGCUGUGAAAGGCCGGGGCUUAACCCCGUGUAUUGCAGUGGGUACGGGCAGACUAGAGUGCAGUAGGGGAGACUGGAACUCCUGGUGUAGCGGUGGAAUGCGCAGAUAUCAGGAAGAACACCGAUGGCGAAGGCAGGUUUCUGGGCUGUAACUGACGCUGAGAAGCGAAAGCAUGGGGAGCGAACAGGAUUAGAUACCCUGGUAGUCCAUGCCGUAAACGUUGGGCACUAGGUGUGGGGGACAUUCCACGUUUUCCGCGCCGUAGCUAACGCAUUAAGUGCCCCGCCUGGGGAGUACGGCCGCAAGGCUAAAACUCAAAGAAAUUGACGGGGGCCCGCACAAGCGGCGGAGCAUGCGGAUUA
rnacentral:rRNA from 1 species